GCAAGUCGAACGAAGUAGCAAUACUUAGUGGCAGACGGGUGAGUAACAUGUAGGUAUCUGCCCUUUGGCCUGGAAUAACACGAGGAAACUUGUGCUAAUACCGGAUAAGUCUUUACGGAGAAAGCUUUAUGCACCAUUGGAUGAGCCUGCACUUGAUUAGUUUGUUGGUAGGGUAAUGGCCUACCAAGACUGUGAUCAAUAGCUGAUUUGAGAGGAUGAUCAGCCACAUUGGGACUGAGACACGGCCCAAACUCCUACGGGAGGCAGCAGUGGGGAAUCUUGCACAAUGGAGGAAACUCUGAUGCAGCGAUGCCGCGUGAGUGAAGAAGGCCCUUGGGUUGUAAAGCUCUUUCGUCGGGGAAGAAAAUGACUGUACCCGAAUAAGAAGGUCCGG
rnacentral:rRNA from 1 species